CCUACGGGUGGCAGCAGUGGGGGAUAUUGCACAAUGGGGGGAACCCUGAUGCAGCGACGCCGCGUGGGUGAAGGAGCGUUUCGGCGCGUAAAGCUCUAUCGGCAGGGAAGAAGGAGGACGGUACCUGACCAAGAAGCCCCGGCUAACUACGUGCCAGCAGCCGCGGUAAUACGUAGGGGGCAAGCGUUAUCCGGAUUUACUGGGUGGAAAGGGGGCGCAGACGGCAGCGCAAGCCAGGAGUGAAAGCCCGGGGCCCAACCCCGGGACUGCUCUUGGAACUGCGCGGCUGGAGUGCAGGAGGGGCAGGCGGAAUUCCUGGUGUAGCGGUGAAAUGCGUAGAUAUCAGGAGGAACACCGGUGGCGAAGGCGGCCUGCUGGACUGCGACUGACGUUGAGGCCCGAAAGCGUGGGGAGCAAACAGGAUUAGAUACCCCAGUAGUC
rnacentral:rRNA from 1 species